rnacentral:lncRNA from 1 species
CAACAAUGUUCCUCAGUGGCAGUUUUCUCACUGACUAAUGUACUACCCAGCGAAGGAUCAAGUCAGCAUUGGUGGUGGGAAACACGUUACUAAGCUUCUGCUAGGCCAAGUCAGUGAUCUACAGAGGGAUGAGGAGGUAGAGAAAUGCAGGACCUGAAACUAUAAUUACCUCCGUGGACAGGAAAACAUGGAAUAUCAGUGCCAAACACGUGUGGACACCAUCCCAUCAAGUGCAGCACUGACAUCCAUAGCAAGCUAUCUGUGCUGCUAAAAAGCUGGCAAAACUUUAUCAGGCAUCAGAAAACAGAAGGUACAGAGAAGAGACCGUGUGAGGAUACAGCUAAACAGGGCCAUCUACAAGCCAGGAAGAGAGGUCUCACUAGAAACCAAAUCUGCCUGCUCCUCUAUUUGGGACUUCUAGCCUUCAGAAUUGUG